ACUGGGAGUUUGGCGUCUCCUGUAAUCCAGCUGCUUGGAGGUCGGGUUUAGUGGAUGGUUUGAGGUCGGGAGUUCUGGUCCAGGGCGUUUCGUGUUGACCGGGUGUCCACACUAAGCAUGGCGUUAAUAUGGGCGUCCUGGGGGAGCCUGGGACGGCCAGGUUGAGCAAAGAGGAGCGAAUCGGGCCAGGGGGGAAACCCAGCAGCCAAAAGUCCCCGCGCCGUGCAGUAGUGGGAUCGCGCCUGGGAGUGGGAACCCUGGACUAGCCCGAUCAAAAUAACUAGACCUGGGCCUUU
rfam:Dendroctonus ponderosae Seq01020568, whole genome shotgun sequence.